rnacentral:rRNA from 1 species
GUGGGGAAUAUUGGACAAUGGGGGGAACCCUGAUCCAGCCAUGCCGCGUGUGUGAAGAAGGCCUUUUGGUUGUAAAGCACUUUAAGCGAGGAGGAGGCUACCGAGAUUAAUACUCUUGGAUAGUGGACGUUACUCGCAGAAUAAGCACCGGCUAACUCUGUGCCAGCAGCCGCGGUAAUACAGAGGGUGCAAGCGUUAAUCGGAUUUACUGGGCGUACAGCGCGAGUAGGUGGCCAAUUAAGUCAAAUGUGAAAUCCCCGAGCUUAACUUGGGAAUUGCAUUCGAUACUGGUUGGCUAGAGUAUGGGAGAGGAUGGUAGAAUUCCAGGUGUAGCGGUGAAAUGCGUAGAGAUCUGGAGGAAUACCGAUGGCGAAGGCAGCCAUCUGGCCUAAUACUGACACUGAGGUGCGAAAGCAUGGGGAGCAAACAGGAUUAGAUACCCUAGUAGUCC